rnacentral:tRNA from 1 species
CAAAAAAUAGUUUAGUGAAAAUACCAGCUUUGGGAGUUGGUGACAGGGGGUCUACUCCUUUUUUUGA